GGGAAGGUAGCUCAGUGGAAGAGUGCUUGUCUUGCAUGCAUGAGGCCCUAGGUUCGAUUCCUAAGCAUCACA
rfam:Dipodomys ordii contig_25981, whole genome shotgun sequence.